AACAGCUCUAUACUAUGGCUUCAGCUAGAAAGAAAGCCUCUUGUUUAUACUCCAUUUCGCUGUUUUAUUCGUAAUCCUCGUCCUGUAGUUUUUAAAUUUCAGCCUAUUUUCGCGCUAUUCAAGCCUUUUGAAGGCAAACUUAUAUUUAAAAUUCAGGAUAUUAUUAUGUCUAAUACAACUACUGGUACAGUUAAAUGGUUUAACGAAUCUAAAGGUUUCGGCUUUAUCGAGCAGAAAUCUGGACCAGACGUUUUUGCACACUUCAGUGCAAUUGCUAGCUCGGGUUUCAAAACCUUAGCUGAAGGCCAACAAGUUGAGUUCACUGUAACUCAAGGCCAAAAAGGUCCACAAGCUGAGAACAUCGUCGCUAUCUAAGCCUCGAUCUCGCUUUUAAAAAAGGGCAAGCCUUAUGGGGUUGCCCUUUUUU
rnacentral:sRNA from 1 species